AUCGAAUAGGUCGAGACAGCGGAGUUUUUGUUAAAAUGAUAAUUAUUAAAGGUUUACUUAGAUAAAGAGUUCAUAUUUCUGAUUACCGGAUGAUUCUACACUUUCAAGUCUGUUUUUAUCUCAAAUUCCUAAGCUAUGAAAUAAUUAAUUGAUCGCGUCUUUUCCGGUUGAAUAAUUGUUCUUUAUCUAUCCCGAUGAUAUCGAGCGGCUUAUAUCAUAGGGGAGCCCUAGUUGCGACCCCGUGGCUAAGGUCAAGGGUAGUUAAUGAACUGAAGGAAAAACAGGAGGCAGGUGGGUUUGGUGAAUUAUAGGUACUCGUGAAUACCUCGUUUCUUACUGUAAGUUGGAAAUCAGGUCUUAUGAAUGAGAAGAAAGAAAAUGAUUGGUUUCACACUUCAAAUAUAUUCAAUUUGUACUUACAAAUUAUUUAAAUAGAUGAUACAAAUUUAAGGACAAUUGAUGAAUGCUGUUGAAUAUAAUCUUCAAUAACUCUGGAUAAUGCACAAAUAUGAUUAUAAUUAUUAAUACACUUAACAAACUAAACUUUGCACAACGUUUCAUAGGAGCUCCUUAAUUUGAGUCUUUAUAAAUAUAUUGGUUUGGGUAUUGAAACCCUUAAUUAUAAUUUUAAUUGUAAAAGCACCAGUUCUCAGAGCACCUAAGCCUCUUUAACGAGAGUAAGCAACUUUCAAAGAAAAGAUUAGGUUGGCCAGCAAGUAGUUGUACUCGUCUUUAUUUCUAUGUUAGAUUCUUGGUAGAAUUUGGUUAACUUGAAAUUUAGAACUGACGAGUGCGAGAGCCUUCGGCAGUCUGAGCACUGGUGAACAUCUUCAAGGGGUUUUUAUACGAUUCCCGCGACAUUGUGGUUCCAUAAGGGUAUCGAUUGUUACAGGUUACUACGUGUUAAGAUACAGAAGUCAGAAGUGAUAUAUGACCACUUAUAUUACGUGACUAAAGAAUCUGUUGGUUUCACUUGAUAAACGAUGGAGCCUGCUCUUAUUGACACUACUAUUAACUGUUAUCGUUCCGAUUAUCAAAGUGGAGAUUGAAUUAUAUUUUGCGGUUAAAUCGUAAUACAAUAAAUAAAAGGAAAGCAGCCCCCGUCAUUUAUCUCACAUAAAAGAA